rnacentral:rRNA from 1 species
GACGAACGCUGGCGGCGUGCUUAACACAUGCAAGUCGAACGGUAAGGCUCCAGCUUGCUGGGGUACACGAGUGGCGAACGGGUGAGUAACACGUGGGUGACCUGCCCUGCACUUCGGGAUAAGCCUGGGAAACUGGGUCUAAUACCGGAUAGGACCGCACCGUGAGGGUGUGGUGGAAAGUUUUUUCGGUGUGGGAUGGGCCCGCGGCCUAUCAGCUUGUUGGUGGGGUAAUGGCCUACCAAGGCGGCGACGGGUAGCCGGCCUGAGAGGGUGGACGGCCACAUUGGGACUGAGACACGGCCCAGACUCCUACGGGAGGCAGCAGUGGGGAAUAUUGCACAAUGGGCGGAAGCCUGAUGCAGCGACGCCGCGUGGGGGAUGACGGCCUUCGGGUUGUAAACUCCUUUCACCAUCGACGAAGUGUUUCUGACGGUAGAUGGAGAAGAAGCACCGGCUAACUACGUG